UUGAAAGUGUUUUUGUAGUGGAGUAUCCAUACCAAAUAUGAAGUCUCUAAGUCUCAUGGUUCAAAAGUUAUGGCGAAGGUUAAAGUUGACAACAGACAAACAAACAGACAGACAUACAGCUAAACAGACAGACAGGACAAAAACAAUAUGCGCCCAUAAAAAAAUUUGGGUGCAUAAAAACUGUCUUGGAGUUAACAGCAGUUCUCUGUUUCUCCUGAAUGUUAUGUACAAUUUGAUCGGGAUCGGAAGAAUGUUUCAAAAAGUCGGGCUCAGUGAUCAAUUAAUUUAAACAACAGACCGCCAAAAUUUAACCUUGGCCUCCAUGUUGCAACGUCUGCUCUGCCUAAAGGAAGAAGUUUGUUGACCAGACAGCCUGAGAUCGUAUUGCUGUAUCAACCAAAAGAUGCAGAUACACGUAUUUCAUAUGUGCGUCUGUGCAUGAGGAGGAGAUUUCUGAAAAAGAAUAAGUGCUCAUUCAACUUACUGCGAUUUUAACGGGCUUAAAGCUUGGUCCAUGGAUGGUUAUGUUUGAGGAUUUGCCAAUUCGACCGCAAGUGCUGCUGCAAGAAAUUAAACAUGCAGAGACCUUACAAAUUACAAAGAAGUCUGAAGAAAAUUUUUAUUGGACAGAUGGGUGUAAAGCAAAGACCUGAGAUAUAAAUUGAAUUGUGAGAAAUAUGAAUCAGGGAUGCAGGUAGAAAAUGGCAAAUGUGAUCCAGAUUGAUAAAAAAUGUCUAAAAAUUUUUCUUGUUUUGUAAAUAUUCAAUGCUAUGUCAAUUGUUAUUUUUUCCCCAAUACCUAAUAGUGUUGAACAUUUCAC